rnacentral:rRNA from 1 species
UUUUGGACAAUGGGGGAAACCCUGAUCCAGCAAUGCCGCGUGUGUGAAGAAGGCCUGAGGGUUGUAAAGCACUUUCAGUGGGGAGGAGGUUAACUGGGUUAAGAGCUAGGUUAAUGGACGUUACCCACAGAAGAAGCACCGGCUAACUCCGUGCCAGCAGCCGCGGUAAUACGGAGGGUGCAAGCGUUAAUCGGAAUUACUGGGCGUAAAGGGUGCGUAGGUGGUUUGGUAAGAUAUCUGUGAAAUCCCCGGGCUUAACCUGGGCAGGUCAGAUAUAACUGCUGAACUCGAGUAUAGGAGAGGGUAGUGGAAUUUCCGGUGUAGCGGUGAAAUGCGUAGAGAUCGGAAGGAACACCAGUGGCGAAGGCGGCUACCGGCCAGAUACGACACGAGGCACGAAA